rnacentral:rRNA from 1 species
GACGAACGCUGGCGGCGUGCCUAAUACAUGCAAGUUGAGCGCUGAAGGUUGGUACUUGUACCGACUGGAUGAGCAGCGAACGGGUGAGUAACGCGUGGGGAAUCUGCCUUUGAGCGGGGGACAACAUUUGGAAACGAAUGCUAAUACCGCAUAAAAACUUUAAACACAAGUUUUAAGUUUGAAAGAUGCAAUUGCAUCACUCAAAGAUGAUCCCGCGUUGUAUUAGCUAGUUGGUGAGGUAAAGGCUCACCAAGGCGAUGAUACAUAGCCGACCUGAGAGGGUGAUCGGCCACAUUGGGACUGAGACACGGCCCAAACUCCUACGGGAGGCAGCAGUAGGGAAUCUUCGGCAAUGGACGAAAGUCUGACCGAGCAACGCCGCGUGAGUGAAGAAGGUUUUCGGAUCGUAAAACUCUGUUGGUAGAGAAGAACGUUGGUGAGAGUGGAAAGCUCAUCAAGUGACGGUAACUACCCAGAAAGGGACGGCUAACUACGUGCCAGCAGCCGCGGUAAUACGUAGGUCCCGAGCGUUGUCCGGAUUUAUUGGGCGUAAAGCGAGCGCAGGUGGUUUAUUAAGUCUGGUGUAAAAGGCAGUGGCUCAACCAUUGUAUGCAUUGGAAACUGGUAGACUUGAGUGCAGGAGAGGAGAGUGGAAUUCCAUGUGUAGCGGUGAAAUGCGUAGAUAUAUGGAGGAACACCGGUGGCGAAAGCGGCUCUCUGGCCUGUAACUGACACUGAGGCUCGAAAGCGUGGGGAGCAAACAGGAUUAGAUACCCUGGUAGUCCACGCCGUAAACGAUGAGUGCUAGAUGUAGGGAGCUAUAAGUUCUCUGUAUCGCAGCUAACGCAAUAAGCACUCCGCCUGGGGAGUACGACCGCAAGGUUGAAACUCAAAGGAAUUGACGGGGGCCCGCACAAGCGGUGGAGCAUGUGGUUUAAUUCGAAGCAACGCGAAGAACCUUACCAGGUCUUGACAUACUCGUGCUAUUCCUAGAGAUAGGAAGUUCCUUCGGGACACAGGAUACAGGUGGUGCAUGGUUGUCGUCAGCUCGUGUCGUGAGAUGUUGGGUUAAGCCCCGCAACGAGCGCAACCCCUAUUGUUAGUUGCCAUCAUUAAGUUGGGCACUCUAACGAGACUGCCGGUGAUAAACCGGAGGAAGGUGGGGAUGACGUCAAAUCAUCAUGCCCCUUAUGACCUGGGCUACACACGUGCUACAAUGGAUGGUACAACGAGUCGCGAGACAGUGAUGUUUAGCUAAUCUCUUAAAACCAUUCUCAGUUCGGAUUGUAGGCUGCAACUCGCCUACAUGAAGUCGGAAUCGCUAGUAAUCGCGGAUCAGCACGCCGCGGUGAAUACGUUCCCGGGCCUUGUACACACCGCCCGUCACACCACGGGAGUUGGGAGUACCCGAAGUAGGUUGCCUAACCGCGAGGAGGGCGCUUCCUAAGGUAAGACCGAUGACUGGGGUG